rnacentral:rRNA from 1 species
AACGAGACCUUUCGGGUCUUAGUGGCGCACCGGGUGCGUAAACGCGUGGGAAUUUGCCCUUGGGUUUCGGAAUAACCAGAGAAAUGACUGCUAAUACCGGAUGAUGACUUCGGUCCAAAGAUUUAUUCGCCCAGGGAUGAGCCCCGCGUCGGAUUAGCUAGUUGGUGAGGUAAAAGCUCACCAAGGCGACGAUCCGUAGCUGGUCUGAGAGGAUGAACAGCCACACUGGGACUGAGACACGGCCCAGACUCCUACGGGAGGCAGCAGAGGGGAAUAUUGGACAAUGGGCGCAAGCCUGAUCCAGCAAUGCCGCGUGAGUGAUGAAGGCCUUAGGGUUGUAAAGCUCUUUUACCCGGGAUGAUAAUGACAGUACCGGGAGAAUAAGCCC